GGGGGGAGCGCAGGAUCCUGGGCUGUGUCCCCCGGCGCCCUGAGCUCCGGGGCCUGCACCGCUGGAAUCGCGCUCCCAGGGCCGCGUACCCCCU
rnacentral:pre_miRNA from 1 species